rnacentral:rRNA from 1 species
GACGUAGGGCGCGAGCGUUGUCCGGAUUUAUUGGGCGUAAAGAGCUCGUAGGCGGCUUGUCGCGUCGACCGUGAAAACUUGGGGCUCAACCCCAAGCCUGCGGUCGAUACGGGCAGGCUCGAGUUCGGUAGGGGAGACUGGAAUUCCUGGUGUAGCGGUGAAAUGCGCAGAUAUCAGGAGGAACACCGGUGGCGAAGGCGGGUCUCUGGGCCGAUACUGACGCUGAGGAACGAAAGCGUGGGGAGCGAACAGG